GCGGCGCCUUCCAUAUCUGCUUAGGGUGCUAUAUUGGCCAGGCAUACAUUACUUCUCUAAGGAGGAAAAAGAAUACAAAGACCUCUAAAAUGUGCUUAAAGAAAUGUUUUACUUUAAGUAACCUUUUUUUCUCUCCAUGAUUCUCAGUGCUGAAUUUGAAGAACCACAUAAUUAUGAGGCAACAAUUUCAUAUCUGAGACACUUGGGCAACUCCAUUAACCUGUGCACUGCAGAAGAAAUUGCUAACUCAACUUAUGAUGUUGGAAUUGAAGAACUCCAAAAGCCUUGGAAGAGUUUUCUCCAUCAAGAACUUCGCCCUAAACGUGAAGAUGAAGAUAAACACAUGAAGGAAAAAGACCCAUGUGGAUUGGAACAUCAAAAUUCAGAACAGGAUCCACAUUCAAAGCAUCCUUUCAAGGUAGACGUUUAUGAGGUGACACCAGAAGACAUCCAGAUGACUACCAGCCACGGAGAUAGAUGGAGCACGGUGGCUAGACAGCAGGAAACCAUGACUGAUGAAAUAGAAGCAAAGGCCUGUCCUGAGGAUAUGGACCUGGUCAGGCCCUCCCAAGGCCAGGGUGUGGAGAGUUUGGAGCUGACGACACACACCCAGGACCUGGUGGCCUUUAAGUCAUGUUCUGGGUUGCAGGCCACAUACGACGAUGUGGAUUGCCCCGUGACAGAUAUAUCCAAGUCGGAUUUCUCCAGCUCAUUUACCUCAGACAGUGUUCCAGAAGAAAGUAGUGAAGAAAUGUAUGAGGAUGUCUACAAAACAAAGAGCAAUUCCUCCCCAAUAGAAUGGAAAAGAAGCACUCAAGAGACUGCAGCAAUUUUUCAAAAAAGAAAAGGACAGAUUUAAAAUGAAGGCAACCAAGUCAAAAGAAAAUUUAAG
rnacentral:lncRNA from 1 species